GUAUAUAAUCAAGGUUCUACAGGUUUAGAAUUGAUGAUUCCACUUUAACUUCUUUUCCUCGUAGGGAUGUGAGCUUAAAGAAGAAUCAGUUAUUCGACUACCUUUUCAAUCUUAAUUACAUACGACUCGUAUACUCGAGGCUGCGAUUGAUGAACCAUGUAUGACUUCUAAUAUGAACUUCAAUACGGAGACUGCCCAUGACUAUGAGUAAUCACAUUAUCAUGUGAACAAACUUAGAACCCUGCACGACUCCUGCAACGAGAUCGCCCUACUGUCUAAACACCCACAGAAAUACAAGAACAAUUCGGACAACUUAGAGAACUACUCAGCAAUAGAGUUGGAAGACUAGGCUCCUCACCCUGGACGGCUCUGGUCUUAUUCUUCUAGACGUAGACGGGUUGCAUCAUAUGUACCUCGACUAUCGGAGACCUCGUCAAGAUUUCCAUUAGAAGUCGUUAUCUCUGCCUCGCAUAUAUGAUUUGGUUGACCAACCGCAAGGAACUAUUUACCUUUCAGAAAUAGACCCGAGUUCCGAAUAUCAGCAGUUUCGAGUGUUAGGGAAGGAUGUACCGAAGACUACCUUCCGAAAUCGAUGCGGACACUCCGAGUCCGUAGUGAUACCCCUCGGAUAGGACCAAUAUGCCCAUAGUAUUCAUGAGCUUAAUGAAUAGGGUACGCCAUUCUUACUGGGAUCAGUCGUCAUUCUCUUUGUAAAUGACUUACUUAUCUACUCUCGUAGUAAGAAGGAAACCAUGGAAACAUUUCCCUCAGAGAAACCCUUCGCGAAGUUCUAUAAAUACGAGUUUUGGAAUUUAAGAGUCAAAUUCCUAAGACACACUAUUAGUGAUGGGAAAUUCUUGAGUACUCUGUAAAUUUAUCAAAAUCGUUGGGAAUUUGUCGGCACCGAAGACGCCGACAGAAAUUCGUCAAAUUCUAGGUCUUGCAGACCUACUAUCGUAGUCCAUUCAGAACUCCUCGCAAUUUACAAAAACCCUUACGACUUUAACCUAGCAAGGAGUGGUCCUUGACUGGGAAGAUAAGCAAGAAACCUUGAAAUUCCAAGUGAGAGACCAAAUUCUUUAGGAAAUCUCACUCUGGGAAUGGCUUAAUACGCUUCGUAAAGAGUGGAAAGCUAAAUCCAAGAUAGUCAGGACCUCCAAGAUUCUUACCGGAAUCGGUCCUGUAUCUCACAGACUAGACCUACUUCGCGAGCUUAGUAACGUACAUUCUACCCUUCACGGCUCGAACUUGUAAAAAGUAUCGAUCUGACGAGACUCUUGAAAUCCCACUCGAAGAGAUCGAGUCCCCUUGUUGCACAGAUUCACAUGAAUUGAGAAGUUCGACAUGAUUACAAAGGGGGAGAAUGUAGAGUCGAAAUAUCUUGUAAUAUGUCGAAGUUUGUGUAAUAGAUAGUUUCGUAUGUUUCCUUAUGUAUUUGCUAAGGCUUCUUUUUGACGAAUCUUAAUGUCCAGCCUUAGUAUUUUUUUUGUACUUUCAGCCUCCUAUAAAUAGGAAUUGAACAUAGAGCAGAUAGUAGAAUUUUCCUAUCAUUUACUAUCAGUUUUGUACUCUUGUUCUCUGAAAGAAAUAUGAGCUAAACCAGACCUUAUUUACUUCUUGUGUUCAUCUUUUACUCUGAUUUGAUUCUCUCUAUUAAACACUUCUACAGUCUUCAGCCCAAAACUUGCAGAAAGGCUUUAGGGACCCUAAUGAUCCCUAAAAAUGCAAAAUUUAUGUACAUGCAUGCCCCAUACAUGUCCUUUCCCAAAUCUAGGUCAAAAGAUGCAAUAUGAUCUACAUUUCAUGGAAGGUUCCCAAAUCACCACCACUUCGUAGAUCUACUAGAUAUAAUGCUCUUGGGACAUAAAGAACCAAUAAAAUUUGCAAACUUUAUCUAUUAAAACCACACAACCUUAUCAAAGGUACCAACAUAUGAUUUAAAACCUAAAUCUAAAGAGAAAAACAUUAAAAGAUGGGAACUCGAGGACUAACAAAGAGUCUAAAAGAUGCACACAAUUAAGGGAAAGGCUUCAUUGUUGAAUCAAGGCACCAAUUCGUUUUCUUCUUCCUUAAAAACAACCAAGAACUUGCAAAAUGAGCACAAGAGCUUCAAAAGAGCUAGGGUUUGGAUAAAGGGUCGUUUGAAGGUGAUGGAAGUUGAGGGUGAAGGAAACCCUAGCAACCACUUCCUUUAAAUAAGGCUUAAAGACAGAAAAUUAGGGUUUAACCCAAAAUAGUAGCCACGUCGUGGUGAUGCCUUCACAUUGUGGCCAACCAGAUUUUCAAGAUAUACAUUUUCUUAAAAAUAUCAUACCUCAAAUAUAUGGAUGUUACAUAGAUACACAAGUGUCCUUUUGGAUUAUCCUGGAUUGGAUUUCUUGUAACUCAGGCAUAGGAUGGAAAUAUCAGUUCGGAAAGUGAACCUACACAAUCCAUAAGGAGUCCGGUUUUACACCAUCACCCUAACAUAUCCUUCUACAAUUGAACUGAUAUUCUUGUCUGAUGGAGAUGGCAGAAUCUAUCUGCGAGUCGACCACAAAAUUCUUAAAACUACACAAGUUUGAAGGCAACGAUUUAAAGCGCUGGUAGAAGAAGAUGUUGUUCAUGCUGACCGCGUUGAAGGCUCUAUAUAUGUGCUGAGUACUCCAAGGCUAGAAGUGGUGGAAAAUGAGACAUUGGAAGAAACUACGAGGAGGAGUAAAUGAGAAAGCGAUGAGUACGGUGUUGUUUGUUUUCUGUCUGCAGAUCUUUUUGGCCUCUUCUGGCUGCGCCGCGCAGACCACGCGCAGACAUUAGACUUCGCAAACUGUUUGUUUUUUUUAAACUGCAGACGUAAAAAUGUUUGUGCGCCCUCUCCUUGGCGCAGAUGUGGACCAGAGUCUUCUAACAUCUUCUAGCCUAAAAACACGCAUAUAUCUUUAUUUUUUUUAGUUUUUUAAUUUAUAUUUAUUCAAAACUUUAUUAAUGAUAAUCAAUUUGAAAAAAAAAGUUACAAUACGUUAAAAAAAUGUUUAACGACACAAACAUUAUCUUUUUUGCAAAUUUAUAAAUAAAUAUUUAUUACAAUAAUGGUCAUUGAAGUUUUAUAUAUAAAUAUAAAAAAAAUCAUAAUAUAUUCCUAUAUUUUUUGUGCCAAAUUUUAUAAAACAUUAUUUAAUACAAUAUCAUCAAUUUCUUGAAAAAAUAUUUAUGUUACGUUUUUAAUUGAUUUAAUUUGAAAAAAUCGAAAUUUAUUUACAUCCAUUUAUGUAUCAAAUUGUUUAAUUCCUAAUUACAAUGUUUAGGUAUAACUUUGCAACAAAAAUUGUUGGUUUUUAUCAAAUAUAUACGUUCAUUCGUAUCAUUUUUAUUUUUACUUUUUAUGCAAUAAUAAAUAAAAGUUGAUCUAGAUUUGUUAAUUAUUUAUAACAAAGCCAUAAAAAUAUUAAAAAAAUCAUUUUGAAGUUAAAAAAAUCAGUUUAUUUAGAUUUUAGUUUAUUUUAGUAGCCUGCAGAUGUUAAGAAAAACAAACAAUUUUCUUUUUUCAGACUGCAGACGUUUGGUCUACCUCUUCUACUACAUAGGUUUAUAGAUUUGGUCCGCAGACUGGAUAUAUUUUGCCUCAGAAAAAACAAACACCACCUACAUCUGCAUAUGAAACAUUUUGAAUGGUAUAGCUAAUUCCUUAUUCGAUAUCCAUAGAGAGGCUAAAAUUACAGAGGUGUAACGCCUUGUUUCGAAUCGUUUCCCAUUUUAAGGAUGGUGAUCAGGGAUUGGGUAUUAGCAUGCUUCGGACCCUUGAGUAAUUAAUAUUUGGAGUCAAUUGGGGUUGGAUAAUGUAAUUUAGAUGUUCGGGUAUUCAGUUUGUGUUUUUGAGUCAAAGGGAAUUUCAGUAAUUUUGUCAACUCGGGCUUUUAUGCAAAGUGGAUCUUCGUUCAGGAUAUCUUAUGGCAAGUAUGAGCUUAUAAUAGUUUAGAUCUUCUUGAUAGAUUUUAAUAUAAGGAUGGUAGAAAUUGGAGUUGUAUCGAGGAAGUUAUGGCCUUUGGAAUGAUUUAGGGUUUGGGGAAAACUCUAGUAUGUGGGGCGUGUUGAGGCGAAAAGGGUGACGCCAUGUGUAAUGGAGUGUACGCUUAGCGUACUUCGGAGUUGAGAUCGGGGUGCGAGACCUCGUAUGCUGGGCAUACGAGGAUUGGUCUAAAAACCCUAAUUUUCGUAUGUAUACCCUAUAUAAGCUUAAUGUUAGCCCCUUUCCUUCAUUUCUAAGUCAGCCUCCACACUCGAAAAACCCUAAAUCGACCUUAGAGCCUCUUGGAGGUGUUCUUGGGGUAUUGGGAGGCUUUGAUGCUCAUUUUUCCCUUGGGAAGGAAAGAAGAGAAGUUAGAAGUUGUUUGGCUUAGUGGGAAAGAUUUGGAUCCAAAAUCAUCACCUUGUGCAGGAGUUUUUUGAGGUAAUAAGUUUGCAUCUUGGCUUAUGUAUGAAUAGAUCUCUUCAUGGCUAGAUUAUUAUGAUUUUGGUCUUCUUUUUGAGAUUAUGGAUGAGUUAGGUUGUUUAAGGGUUUAUCCUUUCAGAUCUAAGCUUUUUUUGGUAUCCUUGAGCAUAAAGGUGCAAGCUUUAUGUGUAUUAUGGAUUUUUGCAUGCAUAAAGUCAACCAAUAAGUCCCUUUUAAGCUUAAGAGUUUCCUCUAGUCAUCUAUGAACGUAAAGUUUGCAACUUUACGUCGUAUUUCAACUCAAGUAGGUCAAAUAUGUGGUUUGGAAAGAUUUGUCUUAAUGGAUUGAGUGAAAAUCAAGUUUUGGAUGAAUAAGGUAAGUAUGUAAGGUGUACAAGCAGGUAAACUCAACGUACAAUCCUCCAAGAGAGUACGCUGCACGUACAUGCUUGUACGCUCCGCGUACUCGGUCUGAAUGGGCUUUGUGUGUUUGGCUUUCGGUUUGGGUUAUCUUUUGGUCUUGGAUUGCAUUGGGCUUUAUUGGGCCACCUAUAAAAUAGUGUUUGGAUUAGGAAAAUGUUAAUGGGCCUUAUGGUAAGGCCCAUGUAAGGGUUUGGGCCCAAUUUGGAAAAAUUGGGCGAUGAAUGGGCUUUGGAUGAUUAUUGGUUGUUGGGCCUUUAUGAUAAGGAGCUUGGGCCUUAGUCUUGGACUAAUCUUGGUGAGGCUUUAAAGGGUAUUUUUACCCCAUAUAUGGAUUAUUGGACUACGUUUGGAACCCGAUUACUAAAUUGGGUGUUAUUUGUUUGAUAUUGCAGAGGUUUUAGCGGAUUUGUAGUCAGAGAGUAUUUGUGGGAGUCUUUUAUCGGAGGUGAGUCUUCUCACUAUAUCCAUGGGUUGAAGGCACCAAUUUUGGCCCAUUAUUUGUUAUGUGGAAUGUUAUUUGUCACUGUGAUACUUGCAUGGAAGACCAUAGGGGGAGCCCAUGGCAUUUCAGGUAAAGAUCAUAGGGGGAGCCUAUGGCAUUUGGAUAUUAGACCAUGGGGGAGCCCAUGGCAUUCCAAUUAAAGACCAUGGGGAAGCUCAUGGAAACUAUAUGUAUGACGCAUGAUAUUCUGUGGUUGUAUGUUAUAUGGUAUUUUAGGGAACUCACUAGGAUUUGUGCUUACGGUUUACAGUUUAUGUCUCAGGCACUUCUGUUUUAAAAUGCCAGGGCUCAGGAUGAUUGCAGAGCACACACCACAUGUUUCCACAUUCCGUGAAUUACUCUGAUUUAUCGAUGUUUUGCUACGACUCGGUUACCUUGGUUUUUAUAGGAAAGCUAUGUAUUAAUGAUUUAUUAAUCUAAAAACAAAAAAAGAUUAUGUCAUGAUUUUCGGGUUGUUACAAAAGGAGUUUUUGGACACUCUUGAAUCAAAAUACAUGGCUGAGGAUGCUUCUAGCAAGAAGUUCCUUGUCAGUUAUUUUAAUAACUAUAAAAUGGUUAAUUCAAGAUCUGUCAUGGAACAACAAAACAAACUCCUUCGCGUUUUGGGUAAAUUCAAACUACACAACAUGAAUACGGAUGAAACCAUUCAUAUGUCGAGUGUAAUUGACAAACUUCCACCAUCCUGGAAAGACUUCAAACAUAAUCUGAAACAUCAAAAAUAGGAACUAUCCAUGGUUCAACUUGAUAGUAAUUUACGCAAUGAAGAUUCUGUUUGUGCACAAGAAAGUGACAAAAACAAAGGAAAAGUUGAAUCUUGACAGAACUCAGUUCAUGUGGUUUAAAACAAACCAAUAAAUCCAAACAACAAAGGACAUGAAAAACACAAGAAAGAAAGUGUCCCAAAUAAUUCCAACAAAAAGAAAAGGGAACUAGUUUGUUGGAGGUGCUUCAAAGUGGGACAUUGUAAGAAUGAUUGUCGUGUGAAUCUUGGCAAUAAUGGUGCUAGAAACAGUGGAGCCAGUGGAAAUGGAAACUGGUCUAAGGACCAUGUUAAAGGAUGUAAGUUUUUAACAAACUUUGAUAAUUCUGAACAUAAUUAUAUUUAUCAUGUGUCAUUUAUUCCUGAAUCAUUUUAUGCACAUGAUGAUGAUGUUGCUUGGUGGAUCAACUUUGGUGCAACAAACCAUGUAUGCAAGGAUAAAUGGUUGUUUGAAACAUUAACACCGCUUGAAGAUGGAUAUGUGUUACAUAUGGGAGACGAAUCAUUUAAACUGAUUUGUGGUGUCAGUGUCAUUAAUCUUGAAUUUACUUCUGGAAAGAUUUCUAAAGUUUGUUAUGUUUUGUUUGUUCCUGAUAUUCAAAAUAAUCUUGUUAGUGGCAGUUGUCAGAAUUCUGGUGGUUAUAAACAAGUUAUGAAGCAGAUAUGUAUAUCCUAUAUCGUGGUGGAUUGUUUGUUGGUUUUGGAUAUUUAAAUAAUAGAAUUUUUUGUUUGAAUGUUAUUGAUAAAUUGUCAUCUAUUCGAAAUUCUACUUUUUUGUCGUCUUCUUCUUCUAAAAUUGAUGACUCUAUGCUUUGGCAUGCUAGAUUGGGUCAUGCCAAUUUUCGAAGGAUGCAUGAAAUGUCAAAAGCUGGUCUAAUACCACCAUUUUAAAUGAAUUUGGAAAAAUGUAAAACAUGCAUGAUUACAAUAGUUACAAAACAACAUUUUCAAAAUGUUACUAGAAAAUCGGCUAUUUUGGAACCUGUACACAAUGACUUGUGUGAUUUCCACUCUACUCCAUCUUUAUGAAAUAAAAAGUACAUGAUCACAUUCAUUUGUGUGAUAACCAACAAGGAUAACCAUUCCUCAACAACUGGUUGGGUGUUCUUACUUGGGCAAGGUACCAUUUCUUGGGCUUCCAAUAAACAAUCUAACAUAACAAACUCGACAAUCGAAUCCGAGUUUGUUACGUUAGCAGUUGCUGAUAAAGAAGUAUAAUUUCCAAGGAAUUUUGUUUAUGAGAUUCCUUUGUGGUCAAAACCGAUAUCACCUACAUAUAUCCUUUGCGAUAAUGCAUCCAUUUUAUCUAAGGCACAUAUCCAAGUUUAUGAUGGCAAGUCUAGACACUUAGGUGUUAUACACAGUAUGAUUAGAGACUAAUCAUGAAUAGUGUGAUUUCGGUUGGGCUUAUGAUCUCGCAACAAAAUUUGGUAGAUCAAAUGACUAAUGGUCUGAAAAAGAGACUUAAUGCACAAGUCUGUUAUUGGGAUGGGAUUAAAGUCCACUUAAUUUUGUAAUGGUGAGACACCAAAUUCCUUUCUAAUAUGUCAUUAGGUAUUGAGUUCAAUGAGGAAAGCUCACACUUAUAAAUUAAAACAAAUGAAGUAUACAUCCUAGGUAUGUGUUCGGUUUUGCAAGUUGACCAGGUUGAAGUUGAACUUCUUAAUAAUUCCUUUGAUAAAAAAUUUGUGUAGAUACAUGAAGUAAAGGAAUUACCUACGUGAUCGUAAAGUAUAGACGCAUUACAAGAGGUUAGUAUUUGACCUUGAUACAGUCAUGAGAGGAUUACGACACACAACUUUAUGAUAGUGUCAAAUUAUAUUUCGCUAGAAAGCUCAAUAAACUACUAUGUAUUUUACUUUCAGGUAUUCAGUUGGGUUGAAGGGUUCAAUUCUUAGGACAUCCUGAUUAUCAAUUAUUUAAUUUGUUUGACACUAAAAUGGGAAUUCAAUCAUUUCGACAUUUUCAUUUAUGUACAAGUUUGCUUUGUUUGGAUAAUUUUAUGUUACUUCAUGGGCUACACUAAAAUGGUGGAGGGUUGUUGGUGAUUUUAGUGUCACCAGGAAUUUUUAGUAAUUGGAUCUCAAAUGUGAGUUAAGGACCUUAUUAUUUGUACUCCAUAUUAUAUGUUCGGUGAAAGCGUAGUGCAUGCAUAUAUAAGAUCGAAUUAUAAGCCGAUGAGACACAAUGACGGGGACCAAGGGGGUAGUUCCCCCUUGUAGGGUCGUAGAGGUAGCACCCCUAGCAGGGUCCAAGGGGCAGAGCCCCUAGUAGUGAUCCCACAGAGUUUGGAGCAACGCCCCAAAAGGUCUUCGGAAAUUUGAAUUAGUUUCAUUAAGUAAAAUCUGAAUUCUAAGGGGUGGUUAUGGUAAGAUUACCAACUCUUUUCAGUUUUGGAAACCAUUGAUUAUGCCAUUAAUUUCGAGAUUUACUUAACUAAUUUAAAGGAUUAAACCCUAAUUUGUCAUGCAUAUAUAUGACUCCUCUUCUGAACCAUAGAUAGAACCCUUCUUAGCUCUCCUUCUAAACGAACAUGGAACUCAUUGGCGAUUUGGCUUGUGUUUUUGUGCCUAGAUACACAAGUGUCUUUUUGGAUUAUCCUAAACUAGAUUUCCUGUAACCAGGCAUAGGGUGGAAAUAUCAAUUCAGAAAGUGAACAUACACAAUCCAUAAGGAAUCUGUUUUUCCAUCAUCACCCUAAUAUUUCCUCCUAUAAGAAGCAUCGACAUCAGUUUACAACUGAUUUGAGAAAAAAAAAGGACAAAGCAAAGUAGGAAGGUUGCAGAAGAAGGAAGGGAUGAAGAGUUGAUCGUUAAGAGAAUAGAUAUGCCGUCUUCUUUUUGUGAGGGGCGUUGUGUUUCUGAGCAAGGGCAAUUGACGGCUUUUUCUCAGUCAAAAUUAUUUUUUCUAUGAUCUGAUCGGAUGUUCAAGGACCGAGUAAGAGGCAUAAGUUGUGGUACCAAAUGUUCUGACUUGAACUGAGUCAGAGCUGACCUCUUACUAGACCAGUAAGUGGUAUAUCAAACUAGGCCUUAGGUAAGAUCAGAGAGGGUCAAGAAAGUAAAAUUUUCAACCAGGAAGUUUCUGUUAUGCCUAUUUGUACAUCAAAACCGUAUAACCACAACGUGGACUUGCAAAACAAGAGCAUGCUUGUGUUGGUAUAUUUGUUAACAUAUGUAUGCACCCCAUGGAUACAGUCAAGAAUGUUAUUCAAUCUUGUCAUACAUACCAAAGAUCUAUUCCAUAUUGUAACAUCCAGAAUUCCAGGUAUUAUAUUUUAUCAUUUAUAUUUGAGAAAAAGAGGGGGACUCGACGAGUUGAGUCAUAGACUCGUCGAGUAGGACCGUGACUGCUGACUGGAUUAAUGAACGGAAUCGACGAGUCGGAAAGGGUGGACUCAAUGAUUGCGCGUUGUGGAAUGAAACCCUAAUUCUCAGGGUCUGUGCCCUUUUAAAGGCCUUUAUGGCCACCAUUUGCGGCUACCAGUCUAGAGAGAGAUACCCUAGAGAAUGUGAGCGAGUUGUGAGAGAGUUUUAGCCUUAUUGACCGUUUUUGGUGUGAUUUUACAAAGGAGAAAGUGUUUCCAGCAAGGGGAGGUCAAGAGGAUUGCAUUUCAGUGGGUUUUCAGCUUCGAUCUUCAAGUUUGAGGUAGCUAUUCGAUCCUAACCUUCUGUUUUGCUUAUGGGCAUUGAAUUUAGGGUUUUCUAUACCCUUUUAUGGCUUGUUUAGUUGUGUAUAGUGUCCCAUUGAGUGCUAAACUCUAGAUCUGGACCUUUUGAGGUCCAGAGAGCCUGAACCAUGCUGCUUUUUGUGGUUCUAUGGAGCAAAUGGACAUAGGUUGCCAUGUUAGAAGGGAUUUCACCAAAAUAAGCCUUGGGGCAUUGCAUGAGUAGCAAGAUUCGACCUUUACGUAUUUAUUGGUCAUGGGGAAGUCAGAUCAAUAGAUUAGAGAAGCAGAUCUGACCUCAAGAGGUCAGAUGAGUGUUCUCAUGGGAGGAACUCGCCGAGCCCAUAAGCGACUCGACGAGUCGAGUCGGGUUACCCCGCGAGUCGCGACCUGUGAUGAUCCGUUGAGUGUGGGGUUGACUCAUCGAGUCAAGUGAGGACUACGGGCGAAGAGGACAUGCAUGUACGCGCCGAGUCACACGAGUGCACUCGAUGAGUCAGGUCAAAGUUUAACAGUUGACUUUGUUGACUUUUAGGGUUUAGUCAGUGUUUGGACUUAUGAGCCAUUAGAGGGCUAGAAUGGUCUUUUACCCUUCUAAGAGAACUUAUAGAGAGGGGUUAGACUAGCCUUUAGAAGUUGUAUUAAUUAGAGUAAUUAUUUAUGUGAUGAGGCGGAGGCUAGUGCAGUAUUUCAGAGUUCAAGGUUUACCAAGUUACCCGAGGUAAGUCUUCUCACUAUACCUUACCUAAAGGGGUAAUUAUAGUUAUGUGACAUAGUAUUGUAUGCUAUGUGUUAUCUAUGUGAUUAUGUGCUAUAUGUGCUUCAGAGUUUACAGAGUUAGGAUCGAAUGGUCCACAGAGUUAGGACCAGAGGGUCCACAGAGUUAUGGGAAUGGAGGGUCCCAUUGAGACACUUUGACCAGAGGGUCAUACAGAGUUAUAGCCACGAGUGGCUAAUAUGUGUUGCAUGUGGUAUUUUGGGGAACUCACUAAGCAUUUAUUCUUAUAAUGUUUGGUGUUAUGUGUUUCAGGUACCAGUGAGGAUCGCGGGAAGGCGCCGGCAUGAUCAGUACACACAUGAGGAGUUUUUAUACACUAUGAUCUUGUGUUGUGUUGUAUGGAUUGAUAUGUGAGACAAUGGGAUUUUAUAAUGUUUAUGAAUGAAAUUGUGUUUUUAAAAUUUGAAAAAUUGUUUGAAAAAUUACGGUGUUACACAUAUAUUGGCAACUCAAUUAUAUUUGAAAGAGGCAUGUUGUUUUGGUGCACUCUUACUCUGUUCUUAGCAAGGUUAGAUAUUCUAACUUAAAAUUGUUAUUAGAGCCUUGGUUUGAGGGAUUUGGGUGCACCUUCGGGCGUAUCUGAACUCAAACUGGGGAUUUGAGAGAUAUUCAAAUAAAAAAUCACAAAAUUUUUCUCAAGAAGUAAAAGUUUAGAAAAAAAAGCAGAGCAAAGCAGUGUGUACGAUCAGCCAGCGCCCGAACGGUGAUUUCCUAAAAUAACCUUAUAUUAUGUGUUAUGAGAUAUGAGAUAAUAUGUUACGCAUGCUAGACUAGGCUAGGUAUUAUUAUUAGGACUAGAGUGGCCUAAUUUGUGAUGCCUUAACCUAGGGGUUUUGCUGCUAGGAUAUGAUUGAGAGUGAGUAGAUAGAAGCGAGGAGCUAUGAGAGAUCUGCUAGAGAGUAGACUAUGCAUAGUGAGAGUAGAGUACUUGGGAUUUGGAAUCCAAGGACGAGGACUUGGGGUGAAUACUGAUGCGGUGCGGACGAUAGUAUUGAGCCCGUACUACUGAAGACACCGGAUCAAUGUGCAACCCAAGUAAGAAUCCUUAGGGUACCAGGGAUCCAGUAGGAAUAGGAUAUCGAUUGUGUGUACACUCGAGCGAGUAUCUGAUAUUUUGUGUUGUAUUUCAAAGAAACACCAUGGUUGGGACAUGCCACACACCUGAGAGUAGAGGUGUUAGUGAUCAAGAGAUCCGCAGGUUGAUUCAUGAGGAGGUGGCUGCUUCCAUCCACACAGAGAUUCCAGAGAUGUUUGGGUCUAUUAAGACCACGCUGAUUGAGACUUUUGAUGAGAGAUACGCAGCAGUUACUGAGGUUGCAACCGUUGUAGCUACCACAACUGUUGUUGCUGCCAGACCUCAGGGUGGGGAUUCGUUGCUGUUCCGAGAGUUAAGCAACACAAAGCCACAAGAGUUUGAUGGGACGCAGGAUCGGUAUGCUGCGAUGAGAUGGGUUUCUGAUAUUGAGGGAUGCUUAUAUAUAUGUUCAUGUCUGGAGCAUCUGAGGGUUCGGUUCGCGCUGAACCAGCUUCGCUUGGGAGCGAAGGACUGGUGGAAGUUUGAUACAGCGCACUAUUCGCCUGUUGAGCUUGCUGCGGUGACCUGGGAGAGGUUCACCGCCAUGUUACGUGAUGAGUACGUUCCCCCGGUGGAGAUGGAGUGAUUGGACCAGGAGUUUUUGACCCUCAAGCACGGUACUGAGUCUAUUACUGUGAUCACCAGGAUGUUCCAUGAGAGGGCGAUGUUUUGCCCUGAGAACGUGUCUACCAAGCAGGCACGUAUGAGUCGGUAUUUGAGUAUUUUGAGGAGGGACAUAUGAGAGGUUGUGGCGAACUCUUCGUACCUGACAUUUUCCGAGCUCCAGGAAAAUCCUAGGAAGAGGGAGAUAGAGCUGGAGACUCAGGCUAGAGAGGAGGCGGAGUCUCAAGGGAGGGAUCGGCGGUCGGCUCAUCCCCAGCCGGCAGCCAUGCGGGCCAGCCUGCUGAUUCGAGAUCAGGGAAGCAGAAGGGCCGCACUUGUGGCAAGUGCGGAAAGGGUCAUGAGGGGGUUUGUAGAGCAGAGUCUUUCUAUAUGUGUGGCAAGGAUGGGCAUAUAGCCAAGGAUUACCCCAAGGGGUUUGAAGUCUGUUUUCACUACAACCAGACCGGACACCGGAAGUUCGAGUGUCCGUAGUUGUCGGGGUUCAUCCCAGGGAGCACCACAAGGAUCUGCCCCUACUGCCGUUCGAGCUGUAGAGAGUCGGCCAGUGAAGGCCGAGGCGCCAAAGGCUCGCGAGAGAGCCUUCCAGUUGAUAGCGGAGGAAGUCCGCGCAGCGCCAGAUGUUGUGGUUGGUACAUUUCUUGUGAGUUCUAUACCUGCUUGGGUGUUAUUUGACUCAGGUGCGAGUCGGUCUUUUGUGUCGUUAGACUUUAGUCAACACAUCAGUAUCGGUCGAAAGGCGUUGAUUCGACCUCUGCGAGUUUCCAUAGCUGACGAGAGAGUGGUGUAUGCCACUAACGUGGUCCGAGGAUGUGUACUCGAGAUCUUCGGCGUUGAGUUUCCGAUUGAUUUGGUCCUGAUUGCGAUGGGAGAUGUUUGUGUCAUUGUGGGCAUGGACUGGUUGAGCAGGUUCGGUGCGGUUAUCGACUGCGAGCGGCAGUGGGUGACCAUACGAGGCCCUAGUGGAGGAGUUCUUACGGUUUAUGGCAAGGGUACCCGUUCUGGGUCAGCAUUUUGUUCGGCCGCUAGAGCGAGGUAGGGCCUACAACAGGGCUGUAGCGGGUUUGUGGCUUAUGUGGUGGAUACAAUAGUAGAUGCAGAGAGACCGAUGUCGAUUGAUGAGGUCCCGAUAGUGCGUGAGUUCCCAGACGUUUUCCCUGAGGAGUUGUCGAGAGUGCCUCCCGAGAGGCAGGUGGAGUUCCGUAUCGAUUUGGUUCCGGGGGCAGCGCCUAUCGUCAAGGCGCCCUAUUGCCUUGCGCCUCCAGAGAUGCAGGAGUUAUCCUCGUAGCUUCAGGAGCUAUUGGGAAAGGGGUUUAUACGGCCGAGUAGCUCACCGUGGGGAGCGACGAUCCUUUUUGUCAAGAAAAAGGAUGGUUCACACCGGAUGUGCAUUGAUUACCGGGAGUUGAACAAGCUGACAGUCAAGAACCGUUGCCCUUACCGAGGAUCGACGAUUUGUACGAUCAGUUGCACGGAGCUUCUUGGUUCUCCAAGAUUGAUCUGAGGUAUGGAUAUCAUCAGAUGAAAGUGCGAGAGGAGGAUAUCCAGAAGACAGUGUUUAGGACUCGUUAUGGCCAUUACAAGUUCGUGGUAAUGCCUUUCGGGCUCAUCAAUGCACCGACGACGUUCAUGGAUAUCAUGAACAGGGUGUGCAGGCCGAUGUUGGAUCAUUCAGUGAUCGUGUUCAUCGAUGACAUAUUAGUAUAUUUGAGAUCCAGAGAGCAGCAUGAGGAGCAUUUGAGGGAGAUCCUCGGAGUUCUGAGAUCGAAGAGGCUUUACAGCAAAUUCUCCAAGUGUGAUUUCUAGUUACGAGAGGUCCAGUUCUUAGGACACCUCAUCAACCAGAAUGGGAUAUUGGUCGAUCCGGCCAAGAUUGAGGUGGUGAUGAGUUGGGAGGUGCCGAAAUCCCCCUCAGAGAUCAGGAUAUUUCUGGGGUUGGCCGGCUAUUAUUGGAGAUUUAUCAGAGACUUCUCCAAUAUUGUUGUUCCACUCACCAGGUUGACCCGGAAAGGCAUAGCAUUUAGUUGGGGCCCAGAGCAGCAGGCCUCAUUCGAGAAACUUCGUCAUAGAUUAUGCGAAGCCCCAGUAUUAGCCCUUCCGGAGGGGAUGGAGGAUUUUAUGGUGUAUUGACAUGUCGAUAUCAGGUUUAGGUGCGAUGUUGAUGCAGAGAGGUCAUGUGAUAGCAUACGCAUCGAGGUAGUUGAAGCCUCAUGAGACUGAGUAUGAGAUGAUGUACCAUCCGGGCAUAGCUAAUGUGGUAGCCGAUGCCCUGAGUCGCAGGGCGGUGAGUGCCCCGUUACGAGAUAUUUCUUUGAGAUUGACAGUGAUGACUCCGGUGUUGGACACCAUUCGGGAGGCCCAGGUAGAGGCCAUGAGACCAGAGAACCGCAAAAGAGAGCGGGUGAUCGGACAUAUAUCUGAGUUCGUUGCCAAUAGUUGUGUGCUUAUGACCUUUCAAGGUUGGAUUUGGGUGCCGUUUGAAGGCGGGGCACGUACCAUUCUGAUGGAGGAGGGCAUAGAUCGAGGUUCUCUAUUCAUCCCGGGGCCACUAAGAUGUAUUUGGACCUGAAGAGGGAGUAUUGGUGGCCCUGUACGAAGAGGGAUGUCGUGUGGUUCGUAGAGAGAUGCUUGACCUGUCGCAGGGUGAAGGUCGAGCACCAGCGUCUGCAUGGCAAGUUGCAGCCACUUCAGGUUCCUGAGUGGAAGUGGGAACAGAUUUCCAUGGAUUUCAUCACCAAAUUGCCGAGGACUGCGAGGGGAGUCGAUGAAAUUUGGGUGAUUGUUGAUCGGCUGACAAAGAGUGCUCACUUUCUUGCUAUCAGUGAGAGCUUUUCUGUUGAAAGACUGGCAGAGUUAUAUUUGAGAGAGGUGGUAUCGCGGCAUGGAAUACCGAUCUCGAUCGUGUCAGAUCGAGAUGUGUAUUUCACUUCCAGAUUCUGGAAGAAAUUCCAUGAGGAGUUGGCUACAAGGCUAGAUUUUAGUACCGCAUACCACCCAAAGACGGACGGUCAGAGUGAGCGGACGAUUCAGACGCUCGAAGACAUGUUGCGAUCAUGUGUGAUAGACUUCGGAUGGAUUUUGGACACGUAUUUGCCAUUGGCUGAGUUUUCUUAUAACAACAACCAUCAUUCGAGUAUCGGCAUGCCUCCCUUUGAGUUGUUGUAUGGGAGGAGGUGUCGGAAUCCCAUAUGAUGGGGAGAGGCCGGGCAGCGAGUGAUGGGCAACACUGAGUUAGUGCUUCAGAUGACUGAGCGGAUAUAGCAGGUCAGACAGAGGUUGUCGACAGCACAGAGUCAACAGAAGAGUCAUGCGGAUACGCGAUGAUCCGAGCUUGAGUUCCAUGUGGGGGAUUUCGUACUCCUGAAGGUAUCUCCUUGGAAAGCAGUGAUCCGAUUCAGGAAGAGGGGCAAGCUGGGUCCCGACACAUUCAUCCGUUCAGGUGACUACGAGGGUAGGCAGGGUAGCUAUCAUCUGGAGCUACCUGCGGAGUUGAGCCAGAUCCACGAUACCUUCCACAUGUCUCAGUUGAGGAACUGCAUAGCCUACGAGUUGGCGGUGGUACCAUUGGAGGAUAUUCAGGUGGAUGCCAGCCUGAAUUAUGUUAAGAGGCCGGUUGCGAUUGUGGAUCAGAAUAUCAAGGUUCUGAGGAACAAGGAGGUGCCCCUAGUGCAAGUCCAGUGGCAACAUCGGAAAGGGUCCGAGCUGACAUGGGAGCCGGAGUUAGAGAUGCGUGAGCAGCAUCCAGAGUUGUUUGUGGAGCAAGAUUUUGAGGGCAAAGCCUGGUUCUAGUGGGGGAGAAUUGUAACAUCUGAAAUUCCAGGUAUUAUAUUUUAUCAUUUAUUUUUGAGAAAAAGAGAGGGAAUCGACGAGUUGAGUCGUAGACUCGUCGAAUAGGACCGCGACUGCUGACUGGAUUAAUGAACGGACUCAAUGAGUUGGAAAGGGUGGACUCGACGAGUCCGCGCUGAGGAAUGAAACCCUAAUUCUCAGGGUCUGUGCCCAAAUUAAAGGCCUUUAUGGCCACCAUUUACGGCUACCAGUUCAGAGAGAGAUACCCUAGCGAGUUGUGAGAGAGUUUGAGCCUUAUUGAUCAUUUUUUGUGUGAUUUUACAAAGGAAAAAGUGUUUCCAUCAAGGGGAGGUCAAGAGGAGUGCAUUUCAGUGGGUUUUCGGCUUGGGUCUUCAAAUUUGAGGUAGCUAUUCGAUCCUAACCUUCUGUUUAGCUUAUGAAUUUUGAAUUUAAGGUUUUCUAUACCCUUUUAUGGCUUGUUUAGUUGUGUAUAGUGUCUCAUUGAGUGCUAAACUCUAGAUCUGGACCUUUUGAGGUCCAGAGAGCCUGAACCAUGCUGCUUUUUUUGGUUCUAUGGAGGAAAUGGACAUAGGUUGCCAUGAUAUAAGGGAUUUCACCAAAAUAAGCCUUGGGGGCAUUGCAUGAGUAGCAAGAUUCGACCUUUACAUGUUUAUUGGUCAUAGGGAAGUCAGAUCAAUAGAUUAGAGAAGCAGAUCUAACCUCAACAGGUCAGAUGAGUUUUGUCAUGCGAGGAACUCGCCGAGCCCAUAAGGGACUCGACGAGUCAAGUCCGGUUGCCCCGCGAGUCGCGACCUGUGAUGAUCCGUUGAGUGUGGGGUUGACUCAUCGAGUCAAGUGAGGACUACGGGCGGAGGACAUGCNCUACGGGCGAAGAGGACAUGCAUGUACGCGCCGAGUCACACGAGUGCACUCGAUGAGUCAGGUCAAAGUUUAACAGUUGACUUUGUUGACUUUUAGGGUUUAGUCAGUGUUUGGACUUAUGAGCCAUUAGAGGGCUAGAAUGGUCUUUUACCCUUCUAAGAGAACUUAUAGAGAGGGGUUAGACUAGCCUUUAUAAGUUGUAUUAAUUAGAGUAAUUAUUUAUGUGAUGAGGCGGAGGCUAGUGUAGUAUUUCAGAGUUCGAGGUUUACCGAGUUACCCAAGGUGAGUCUUCUAACUAUACCUUACCUAGAGGGCUAAUUAGAGUUAUGUGACAGAGUAUUGUAUGUUAUGUGUUAUCUAUGUGAUUAUGUGCUAUAUGUGAUUCAGAGUUUACAGAGUUAGGACCGAAUGGUCCACAGAGUUAGGACCAGAGGGUCCACAGAGUUAUAGGACUGGAGGGUCCCAAUGAUACACUUUGACCAGAGGGUCAUACAGAGUUAUAGCCACGAGUGGCUAAUAUAUGUUGCAUGUGGUAUUUUGAGGAACUCACUAAGCAUUUAUGCUUAUUGUGUUUGAUGUUAUGUGUUUCAAGUACUAGUGAGGAUCGCGGGAAGGCGCCGGCAUGAUCAUUACACACAUGAGGAGUUUUUAUACACUAUGAUCUUGGGUUAUGUUCUAUGGAUUAAUAUGGGAGACAAUGGGAUUUUAUAAUGUUUAUGAAUGAAAUUUUGUUUUUAAAAUGUGUAAAAUUGUUUGAAAAAUUACGGUGUUACACAUAUAUUGGCAACUCAAUUAUAUUUGAAAGAGGCAUGUUGUUUUGGUGCACUCCUACUCUGUUCUUAGCAAGGUUAGAUAUUCUAACUUAAAAUUGAGCUCCGAUUUUGCGUGUAAUAUCUAACAAAGUUUUCAUAUUUGUUAUUUUAGCUUUAUACAUAUACAUACGACACUUUGAAAAAAGAUGCUGACUUGGCAUCAAGCACAUGCACAACCAACCAGUAUAUCAAUGGUUUGUUUUUUGGUCUUCAAGUCUAGGUAAUUGAAUUUGAUUAAUAAUUAGUACUAUUUUUUGUUUUUUUGUAGCUAUUAUGUGGAGGAUUAGCUCAACCUACUUCUUCUUUAUUUACAACUCGUUUGAUGUCUUGAAAACAAGCAGGCCCGACCGAUGAGGGUGGGCAAGCUGGGCGACGACCCAGGGCCUAUUGUUGGAUCGGGCCCUAAAGAAAUUUACAUAAAUAAUUAUAUAUAAGAAAUGUUAAUUUUUUUUUUAAAAAAAAUUAAUGUAGGCCUACUGAAAAAGGCGUUCUCUUUCCUUUCACUUAUAUCCAGGCUUGUCGCGAGUUCAAUUUUAGCGAUGCACAUCUUUCUCUAAAUUAUAUAUAAUAAAAACACAACAUCUUUAUGAACAAUACCUAACUCGGGUAUUGUUCAUCAGGUUUGUUUAACUGAGGUUAGUUUAACGCUUCUGUUACCCUACCGCCUCUCAUCUUCUACCGCCUCAGAUCCUUUCCAUUAAUCAUCUUUGAUUAUGUAGUUCUCUCUAUACACCCAAAAAAAGUCCCCGCUCCUUUACUUACCGUCUGCACAAGGAGACCACGAAAGCUGUAGUGGUUUCCUCACCACCAUACUCACCGGUCAGCCAGUUGAUUCCCGGCCGCCCCUACGCAGGGUAUGGUAUGAAAUGGGUAGCGAUUUUUGUUCACUUUCUUUAUUACUAUUACAAUUACUUUUUUCACAAACGAUGAGUUCACCAAUUGGUCUUCUCCUCCCAAGAUUUAGGGUGAAACUACCACCUCAACACCUUUGCACCUUGAUUUUAAAAAAAUAUUUAUAGGCGUUUUGCUUGCAGCUCCUCUCUAAUCAAUUAAACUGUACCCAUAUUUUAAAUUCUAGAUUUCUGAUUUCUGUGGUGAGAUAGAGCAAAGGAGGAGGAUGAUUUUGAUUACAUGCCCCCUUGGCUUCGAAAUUGAGUCAACUUUUUUUUAGACAUAAAACACCAUUUUUUUUUGCCUAUGUUCUAUCAUUUGUGUGACAUCCUGAAAUUUCCAAGCUUGUUUAAUCAAUUCAACCUAUUAGUGUUAGACUCAUUUUGCUUCCAGUUAUCACUGCUUGGAACCUAUUUAGACUGUUCUAAACCUAGUAUAUAAAAGGAAUAAGAGAUUGGAAAUAGGAGCUUAAGUUUUUAACUGCCUGCAACCGUAAACCUCCUCAAAAAGGGAGUUUAUGGUCAAGACCAAUGAGUUUACGGUCAUGGUGACCGUAAACCCAUCCCUAUAUAUAUGGCACUUAGCCAUUUUCAAUCACUUUUCACCAUUUCAAGCCUAAAAAUCGGAUUCUCACUCAAGGAUCAUAAACUUUUGCUUCCAAAUCUUCAAGAACAAGUAAGUAAUUCCUUCUUUAGAUGUUAGAUCCUUCCUAAAUACAUGUUUCACUCUUGAUUCAUCCAAGGAUUUCAUCUUUUACCUAGAUCAUCAAAAAUUCUCAAGAACACAGUUUUGUUUUGGACCGAAAACACCUACCUUGCCUUCAAAACAGUAAGUACCACCCUCCUUUACAUCUAUCUAGUUACAAUCCUUUAUUUUGGACUUAAGAUCAUCCCUCUUUACAUGAACAAAAGAGUUUAUGGUUCUAUGAAUCUUCAUAGACCGUAAACCCUUAUAAAGGGUGUUCUUAUAGCCUUUACCCUUCCUAAGGCUAAGCAUGGUCCCUAGAAUCUGAAACCUUUGAAUGAAGCCCUUGAAAACCAUCAUUUGUGCAAGAUUUGAUGAGUUUACGGUUGAAUAUCCUUAGACUGUGAACUCCAUGACCGUAAGGUCAUUGGACCGUAAACACUAAGACCGUAAACACCUAACAUCGUGAACACUUGGACCGUGAACUCCAAUGGUCAUACCUUUUUUACCGUAAACUCUUUAGGGUGGCCAUAUACCCUAUUUAUGAAAUCAUAUGUGAUUAUAUCCCAUAAAUCUUAGAGAUUCCUUGACAAUAAGGGUGUUACCCUUUUCAUUUAGUCGUCUAUACACUAAAUUCAUACACAUAUAUGUCGAUAUGUGUCUAUUAGGAUCAUUGUGUGCUCAAGGUUGCACCUGACACUCUGCAAUCCUCUUCCAACCACAUGUCAGAACCACUCACUACAGGUGAGUUCAUACCCCUUAAUCAACCUUUGAAAAUUCUUUUAUGGGGGGGGGGAUACAAGUUUAAACAUUCUAGUUAUUAUAUCAAUCACAUGUGAUUAAUAACUAGAACAAACAGAAAGAUUCUUCUAUUACUUUCAAGCUGUUAUCAAACUUAUGGAUUUCAAAUGCUUCAAAACAUUUUAUCAAACUCUUUUAUGCUAAAACUCUUUAUUAAAAUCUUUUAAACUUAUAUAUUGUCAAAAUCAUGUCUAUAUAGAUAUAGUUAUAUAAAUAAGGUUGAAAGGACUUAGGACUGAUAACUUACUUUAUUUCCUUCUCCUUGUUUGGUUGUGGACUUAGGGUAUUCGGUUGUUUAUCCGAGUGUCGUUUGAACCUUAGUUAUAUAUUAUGUAUUUGUAUAUAGAUAUAAAAGCUUUUAUUUAUAUUCAAUGCGCAAGCAGUUAUUCAAACAACAUUACUAGUAAACUAUAAUAGGUAUAGUUUAAGAGAUCACUACUCACUAUUACUAGUAAAAGGAAACAUACAAGAGUUUGUUCAUUUAUGAGUCGAUACAAACUUACUAUUAUGAGAAACUAAGAGAACAUACUAUUAUGAGAAACAAUACAUACUAUACACUAGUACAAAGAGAACAUUUCUACACUAUGACUUACUAUACAAACACUAGGAUACCAUAAUUUGAAUGUGAAAUACUACUUCUCGAUACAAUAAUACAUUGUUGUAUCAUUUGGUAACUAGAGUCUCCUGGAGGGAGAGCAGGCAUCGUCUGUAUAGAUCUAUACGGGACAGACACUCCCACACCCCGACUGCUAGCUACAGUCCUAGCCGGUAAGGCAAAGGGGUGACAAAAUGUCACCUCACUAUUUUAUGACGCCUAAAGGUGGUGAAGUAUUCAGCCGUCGAUCAGCAUGGUUACAAACAAAUUCACAUCGAAACCUUUAGUUGACCAACUAGAAUUAAAGGCAAUAAGACUCACCAAGGAGUAUGUUACAUUUAACUCGACCUUGAGUCUUCAUUUUUUUAUCAUUUCAUAGUUAGCAGUGUCACUGCUGAGGUAGAACGUACUAUUUUCCAAGUAGGGAUUAGAAAUGAUUGGGAGAAAAUAUACUUUUGCACAGUAAGAAAGUACUACUAUAUUUUUCCUACUAUUACAAAUACAUAUACAAACAUUACAAUUUUAUACAAGAACAAACAUGUAAAACAGUCGGGCUUCGGGUAAAAGCCUACAUUAUUUAUAAGAAGGAAAUAUAGGAUUUUCUGGGAAAACUUUACAAACUUUUCAAGGUUUUAAUACAAACAUAUAGUGGCUUUUAACUACUAAAUGACACUAAAUACUUAUGAACUCACCAACAUUUUAUGCUGAUACUCUCUUUCAAAAUAACUUUUAUUCUUAGGGAACCAGUAAGACAGGUACACCCAUGUAGCUUCUGAAGGGCCGAGUGGAUCCAAGACUCGUCUUUAUUUUGAUUAUACAUUUUUGGUGUCAUUUAAACCUUACAAAAGAACACACAUGUAUAUAAUUAUUCUAUUAAUGCAAUGGAUGUUGUUGCUUGUUCUACUAUUAUGCAAUGUUAUGAUACUGUACAUGACGUCUUCCGCCCCAGAACGUUUCUGCCUUUCCGGUUUUGGGGUGCUACAGAUUGGUAUCAGAGCAUUAUUUAUAGUGAAUCGAGUAUAUUAACACAUAAAAGAUAUACAAACUAUAAAUGUAAUGGGAUUAAUAUAGUCUGACCAAGAGUUUAUACUUUUAAAUAAUAAAAUAUUUAACUAAGUAUACAUACCUGCAUUCAUACUAAAAUAAGUGUCAUUAGGACAGAACAAAAGUAUUACGAUUGUUGAACAACACAAUUAGGCUUAGAGACAUAUAGUCAAAUCUGGGGGGAUAUAGCCUGAUCAACCAUAUUUUCCGAGGAGUGACUAGCAUGUGCCUAAGAAUGGUUGUGGUGUUGCAACAAGUCUAAAAACUUACCAAUACUACUACAACGAGAACAUUAGAACAGAGCGUAAACCUAAAAUACUAUAGGAGUAUUUUGUGUUACUAUAAUUACUUAUUUGAGAACUAAAAAGGUCUUUACUAGUAGGUCAAUAAUUGCUAAGUAGAUACGCUAAGGUUAUAUGUGACUAAGGUGUUGUAGACUUAGCAUCUUCGAUCUUUGCUUUACUUCUUGUUCCUUGUUUGGUUGUGGAUUUAGAGUUAGGGUCACUUAUUCGAAGGUCUAUCCUACUUUGAUUCCAUGUAACUGGUAUGCACUAUGCAAGUCUUGAAGUAACUAGUAAAGAUCAUCUUAUAAUUAUCUUAGGUAAUACGCCUAUGAGAUUUAAGAUUCUUAUACCCUUUUUUUCUCGCGUAGAUAUCAUGGUUGGAUUCCAUCCACCCGGCGACCCGUACUUCCCAAAUCAAGGCAAUGUUGGAUGGCUUGAAGCGGAGCCAGAAGAUGAUCAUCUUAUCCUAUUGGAUGAUCACCUCGCAGAAGGUUUUUCGGAUGGUUCUGACUCCGAGCCAGAAGUCAACAACCUGCCUCAAGAGGCUCAAAUCGCAAACCUCAACACCCGACCAUCAUUUCAAGGUGCCACACCCUUGUGGGCGACAAACUUGAACCAAUGGAUCCAUGAACAGGUUCAACCUUUACCCUUCAAUGGAGAUCGAAGCUUUUACAAUAUAAGCGAGGGAGCUCAGCUGACCGAGUCCUGUCCAUUAUGGUUUGCAUGAUUUCUCGGAAUGUGGAGCAAGGUCAAGCAGCCAUCGACCGAGUCAUGGAAAUUGACGCCAACUCUGGCGUUAACACGGUCCGCAUUCACCAACUCGAAGAGGAUAUGGAAAGGACUAGGAGAACCAAUGAGGCUCUGUAGCAACAACUAGCUGCAUCCUGAGCUGAAGUCAGGGAACUCCAAGUGCGUCAGAGGGCGCAUGAGCGACAUCUUCAAGAAGUUGUACAUCAACUGGUAGAUCUAAGGGUUCGCCCGAGGGAUACCCGUCAUCGGUAGAAGAUGUUGAAUCAUCUUUUCUUUUGGUUGAAGGAAUAGCCUUUCUUAUCUGUGCUCUAGGAAGUACUUUUCUGUAAUAUAUUCCUGUCUUUCAAACACUAUAACUAGAUUUCUAAGUUGUCAACAUUUUUCCCCUAUGGUUUGAUGUAAGACGAACUGUUAGGUCAUUUUUUUCCCGAAAUCAUUUACAUCAUUAAUACCAGUAAUAUUGACAGUUACCUAAUCUAUUGGGAAGUCUUUACUCUUGCGUUUCCCUACUCUAUUGUGGUGUCUCUAUUUCAAUCAUACACUCAUUCUAGUGGUUGGGCUUUGGCGAUUUAGUCCAUGGAUCACUCUCAUCAUACUUACAAUUGAUUCUUACUAUUAUCUCCAUCUCUAUGAACUUUCAGUAAAAGAUGCCGCACCGCAAGCGUCCAACCAGAGGCACGCCUGUAAAUCAAACUCCACCACCACCACCCCCUUUGCAGUUCGAUGCGGUGAUGUUUCAGGCUGCUAUGACCGCAACCAUGACUCAAGUGAAUUCAGGUGGUGCCAGUGGACCAGGAACAGGCACCAACUCUAACUAUGGUGAAAGCCAAUCCCGUACACAGGAGUGUACCUAUAAAGACUUCAUCAGCUGCAAACCAGUGUUCUUCAACGGAACCGGAGGGAUCAAAGCGUUGUCCCAAUGGAUCGAAAGAACAGAAGCAAUAUUUUAGAUGUGAUCUUGUCCUGAAGGAAGCAAGAUAAAAUUUGUUGUCCGCACCUUCAUUGAAAGGGCCCUGACAUGGUGGAAUGGCCAUGUCAAAUCACUCUCACUGAUGGUGGCUAAUGCUAUGGGCUGGGAGACGUUGAAGGACCUAAUAGAAAAGGAGUACUGCCUGAGGGGCGAAGUUCAAAAACUCGAAGAGGAACUGUGGAACCUUAAGAUGAAGGGUUCCAACAUAGUGGCUUAUACAACUAGAUUCAGUAACCUAGUAACUCUAUGUCCCAACAUGGUCCCCACUGAAAGAAAGAAAGUCGAGAGAUACAUCUGGGGUUUGGUACCCUCGUAUCGAGGAAACAUUCUAGCAUCGAACCCUGCAACCUUUGAUAGUGCCAAGCAAUUGGCCCAGAGGCUUAUCGAUCACGAGGUUCCUUCUCCACCAACAACAACUACAAUUGUUGUCUCAACACCAACCAAAGUGGCUGACAACAAGAGAAAGCGUUGGAACUGACAAAAGGGCAAAUAAGCACAACCCUCUUCAAAGAACCAACAUGUUGUUGUUGUCUGUGCUGCCACAACUCCUAUUGCCCCUGUACUCGCAAAGCCAUGUGCAGGGAGCCUACCCAAGUGCACUAAGUGCAACUUCCAUCAUAACGGCCCCUGCCGGGAAAUGCCCUGCACCAACUGCGACCGGAAGGGCCAUACUGUCCGGUUUUGCAAAGCACCACCCAGACCCAUCACCCAGGUCCCUGGUACAGGAGUAAGCUAGGCCCGCUACGGGUGUGGUAAGAUAGGGCACUUCAAAAGAAACUAUCCUAAGGCUGGGAAUGCGGGAGGAGUAGGGAGACUACUUGCUAUUGGCCAUAAUGAAGCAGUGGCAGACCCCACAGUAGUCAUGGGUACAUUCCUCCUUGAUAACUCAUAUGCAUGUAUCCUAUUUGAUAGUGGGGUAGAAAGGAGCUUCGUGAACCAAAAAUUUAAAAACUUACUUAAUCAUGCACCUCAAGCACUAAAAGAAAACUUCUUCAUAGAAAUGGCUAACGAAAAGACAGAGAGUUCUAACGAGAUUUUCAUAGGUUGUACCCUCACACUAGAUAAUUAUACAUUUCCAAUCGGCCUCAUAUCCGUGGCAAUCAAGAGUUUCUACGUCAUUAUGGGCAUGAACUGGUUGAGUCUUCAUCGUACCGAUAUUCUGUGUUUUGAGAAAGCAUUCCAUCUAAACCUACCGAAUAACGAAACCUUGUUGAUCUACGGGGACAAACCCAGUACGAGCCUUCGAAUCAUCUCGAGCAUCCAAGCCCAGAAGUACCUACGAAAGGAAUAUCGUGCAUUCCUUGCUCAUAUAGUCGAUGUGAACCAAGAAACCAAAUACCUAAAAGACCUCUCUAUAGUACGAGACUUCCCCGAUGUGUUUCUGGAAUAACUACCAGGGUUACCUCCGCAACGCCAAGUCGAGUUCAGAAUCGACCUAGUGCCAGGAGCUACCCCAGUAGCCAAAUCGCUCUAUCGUCCAGCACCGACAGAAAUGCGGGAACUAUCCAGCCAACUUAACGAACUGCUCAGCAAGGGAUUUAUAAGACCAAGCUUCUCACCAUGGGGAGCACCGGUCUUGUUCAUCAAGAAGAAAUACGGAUCGUUCAGUAUGUGUAUCGAUUACAGGGAACUGAACAAACUGACGGUCAAAAAUCGUUAUCCCCUACCCCGUAUAGACGAUUUAUUCGACCAGCUGCAAGGGUCGAGCUAUUUUUCAAAGAUUGAUUUGAGAUCCGGUGUGACAACCCGAAAUUUUCAUUUGUAUAAACUCCGCAAUCAAGCACAUCAAAAAUUAUCCAAAUUCAUCUCAAAACAUUUUUGGCCUGUUUUAAGUCCGUUUGAGUAUUUGAUCUUAAUUUUUCGUCAAACGAACAAUUAAAUGGAAGUGUCCGUUAGGAGUGUUAUAUAGAAAAUAACCAUUUAACACCUUGAAUAGGUGUUUAUGGCCAAACAAGGGAGUUUGCACCGAAAACCCCAAUGGCUAUAUAUAUGGCACUUAACCAUUUUCCUUCAUUUCUUUUAUUUCAAGCUAGAGAAAACCCGAUUUCUCUCCCAAGGAUCUUCAAGCUUUCGUCCCAACCUUCGCAUACAUAAGUACUUCUAUCCUAGAUUAUAUUAAGGCAUGUUAUACUUCCAUGUAUCAAGAAAUCACCCAAUAAACACCAAGAACAAGUUGUUCAUGGUCCAAGGUGUUCUUGGACCGUAAACCCUAAAAUGGGUGCCAAAGUGUGCCCUAGUUCCUCCUAAGCCUUCACAACUAGCAUAGAUCCUUUCCUUGACGAGUUUAGCACUUGAAAAACACCAAAAACCCCCCAAGAACAUGAGUUUAUGGUUUGGGGACCUCCCAAAACCGUAAACACCUUCAAAAGGGUGUUUUGAUGCCCUUAACACCUUAUAUGGCUUGUAUAUGUGACUAGGACUUUUCAUGCUUAACCUAGAUACACCAAAACACGAAAGGAAGGGGCAAACAUGAGUUUACGGUCGUAAAAUCAUGUGUUUACUGCCAUAAACUCCCCAAGGAGUGGUUCAAAAACCGUAAACUCCAAAGAAGGGUCAUCUUGAACCCCAAUCACUUCCUAAGCCCUUGAUUCGAGUCUAGCAUAAUUCAUUUAGUAGUUUAAGACCUUUGAGCACCCAAUGACACCAUUGCCAUGUUUUUACAACCAUAAACUCAUGGUGGAAAUGGUCGCAGAACCGUACACACCCUUAAGGGCCACCAUUUGAGGAGUAAACUACAAUGUGAGGCCAUACACUCUUUAUAUGCAACCUUUAGUAGUCCUAGCACUUGUGGUAAAGUUUUUCAUGUAUUAGGAUGUCUUUACUUGCAUAAUUAGUUAUUAAAAUGACUAAUUUGAUACUUCAAUGUAUCAUUACAUGUUAAAUAGGAUUCGCGUGUGUGGUCAAGUCCUCACUUGACACUUAGCAUCCUAUACCAUCCGUUCAUCCGAAUCACCCACGUCAGGUGAGUUCAUACCCCUGAAUUAACCUUUUAAAUGAUUUUAAAUUCUUUUAUGGGGGGGAAUACAAUUUCAACUAUAGAGUUAUUAUAUGAAUCACAUGUGAUUAAUAACUGUAUAGCAAAUAGAUUUCUACAUGAUAAACUGUUUUAUCCAGCUAAUGGUUUUCAAAGCUUGUUUUAUAAAUUGACAUCAAGUCAUAAAUCCUUAUUUAUAUGUUUUUCCAAAAGUUUUACCAAAACUUCUUUUUUAUAGUCAUGUAUUGUUAAAUGCAUGCUUGUAUAUGUAUAGUUAUAUAAGUAAUGUUUAAAGGACAUAGGAAGGCUAACUCGCUUUAAUUCCUUUUCCUUGUUUAGAUGUGGCUUUAUGGUAUCGGUUAUCCGUCCGAAGGUCGUUUAAAUAGUAGUUAUAUAUCAGGUAUACAUAUGUAGUCAUAAAGGUUCCAUCAGCCAAAUCAUCAACCUUUGGGUAGCAAAGGCAUCUAGAUAACUUCUCAAGUAAACUAUAAUAGGUAUAGUUUAGAAACCAACCAUAACAUUCAUGAAAGAGAACUUAGUUAUAUUCUAGCACUUAUACUUUUUACUAAAGAGAAAGGUUAUAGAAUUCGAAACAUGAGAUACGUCCUCAUGACACAGAUUCCACCGUUUGUCGAGUUGGUAACCAGAGUCUCCUGGAGGGAGAGUGGGCAUUGUGUAUAUAGCUACAGUCCCACAUAUUGACUGCUAGCUACAUUCCCGGCUGACCAAGCCAAGGGGUGGCAAAUGUCACAUUUAUUCUGACGCCAUCAGGUCGUCAAGUAUUCGAUUGUCGAUCAGUAUGGUUAUGCGUAUCUUUACGUUUACCUUAUAACUCAUGGAUUUAAGGUAAUAAGUGUCAUCAUGGUAUUUCCUAUAUAUAUAUAUAUAUNNNNNNNNNNNNNNNNNNNNNNNNNNNNNNNNNNNNNNNNNNNNUAUAUAUAUAUAUAUAUAUAUAUAUAUAUAAGAUUAUCAUCAUGUAUAUCUUCCUAGUUAUACACUAGGCCAUGUAUUAAAUCUUUAAAUAAACCUACUUAGGAUUAAAGAUUCUUUUAGAAUUUGCAAGACGUAAUGCUCAUUAAUACUGUCUGCAGUCCGUACUUCUUUCUUUUAGACUUUGCUAGAUGUAUUAUUCAUUCGAUACCGUCUAAAGUAUGUACUUCAUUCCUUUUAGACCCUCUGAGGCAUGUUGUUCAUUUAACACUACCCUAGGGUGUGUAUUUGAUUCUUUUAGACUUUGCGAGGUGUUCCGCCUGGAGUCUAUGUUUUGUUUACCUUUUUGACUUUGCUAAGCGUACUGUUCAUUUAAUACUUCCUGGAGUCUGUAUUUCAUCCUUUUAGACUCUCUGAGGCGUGUUGUUCAUUCAAUACCAUCAGGAUUCUAUGUUUUAUUUACUUUUAACCAGCAGCGUUACUACUGAGGCAAAAAUAUUAUUUUCCCUAUUACUUAUGAUUGUGAUCUUCUCACUUAUUCUUUAAAGUAUAAAUCAUAAUUUGAUAAUGAUAGUACCUUUAAGUGGAAAAUGUUUCUUAAACAUAAAACAAUUGGGUCUCGGUAGAAGACCACUUUUAUUAGAAAAUAUAGGAUUUUCUGGAAAAGAAUUCUAACAUUCUGUAGAUUGUAAACCACCGUCUCUCAUGAGAUUAUUUUGAAGAUAAACAUGUAUUUAUACUAAUGUCAUUAAAUACUUAUGAACUCACCAGCACUUAAAAAUGAUGAUACUCGCUUUCAAAAUAACUUGUAUUCUCAGGUCAUCGGUAGAUAGGUACACUCCGGGAGCUUUUGUGAAGACAGCUUAGUACCGAGCUGCAUUAUAAGUUAUUUUCUGUAUUUACCUUGUUGUUGUUGCUAAAUGUAACCUAUGUAAAAUUAUUAUUGUUAAUGCAAUGGUUGUUGUACUUUGAUUACUAUACUGCAUAUGUUGUGAUACUUGACAUGACGUCAUCCAUCCCAGAACGUUUCCGUCGUACUCGGUUUUUGGGGUGUGACAUCCGGGUAUCACCAAUUAUGAGUGUUAGAGGAGGAUGUUCCAAAGAAAGCCUUCCGAACUCGUUAUAGACACUACGAGUUUGUAGUGAUUCCAUUCGGAUUGACCAAUGCGCCCACAGUAUUCGUGGACUUAAUGAAUAAGGUAUGUCGUCCUUACUUAGAUCAGUUCGUCAUUGUCUCCAUCGAUGACAUACUUAUCUGCUCUCGAAGUAACGAGGAACAUGGUGAUCAUCUACGACAAGUCCUAGGAACCUUACGAUCAUAGAAGCUCUAUGCGAAGUUCUCUAAAUGUGAAUUUUGGAUCCGAAGAGUCGAAUUCUUAGGUCACGUGGUUAGCGAAGAAGGAAUCCACGUAGACCCUUCCAAAAUUAAAGCCAUCGAGAACAGGUCAGGACCAAAGACGCCUAUAGAAAUUCGUCAAAUUCUAGGACUUGCUGGCUACUACCGCAGAUUCAUAUAGAACUUCUCCCGAAUUGGGAAACCUCUUACGACAUUGACCCAAAAGGGCGUGGCCUUUGACUGGGAAGAGAAAAAAGAGAUGGCGUUUCAAACACUGAAGCAAGCCUUAUGCACCGCACCGAUACUAUCUCUCCCCGAAAGGAUAAAAGACUUCGUAGUUUACUGCGUUGCAUCCAACCAGGGGCUCGGCUGUGUUCUGAUGCAACAAGGUAUGUUCAUCGCCUAUGCCUCAACACAGCUGAAGACACACGAGGUCAACUACACCACACAUAAUCCUGAGCUAGGAGCAGUUGUGUUUGCUCUGAAGAUCUGGAGAAACUAUUUGUAUGGUUCGAAAAACACUAUCUUUACAGACCACAAAAGCUUACAACACAUAUUCGACUAGAAGGAGCACAACAUGAGACAACAACGGUGGGUCGAGCUACUCAAUGACUACGAAUGCAAAAUUUGUUAUCAUUCGGGUAAAGCCAACGUAGUAGCAGGCGCCCUGAGUCGGAAAGAAUAUUCUGGUCAAAGAGUUAAAUCAUUGACCAUGACUAUCCACUCACACCUGUCCAUGCAAAUCAAAGAAGCUCAAAUCGAGGCCUUGAAACCGGAAAAUGUGGCGAGUGAAUCCCUAAGAGGGAUGGAUAAGAACAUGGAAUUCAAGGGUGGCGGAGCCUUAUAUAUCAUGGACCGGAUUUGGACACCGAAACAUGGUGGCUUCAGAGACUUGGUCAUGACCGAAGCACAUAAUACUCGAUAUUCCGUCCAUCCAGGUUCAGAUAAUAUGUAUCUGGAUCUUAAGAAGUUAUACUGGUGGCCUAACACGAAUGCAGAGAUUGCUACCUUCGUGAGUAAAUGUCUUACUUGCGCAAAGGUUAGGUCGAAUACCAUAAACUGUUACGUUUACUCCAACAACCGGAGAUACCGGAAUGGAAGUGGGAGCAGAUCACAAUGGACUUCAUAACCAAGUUUCCCAAGACUACUGGUGGUCUCGCUACCAUCUGGAUGAUCGUUGUGUAACAUCCCGAGUUCAAGAGUGCAAGUUCAGGGUUCAUAGUGAAAAUGUGAAUGGUCAACUUGGCGAGUCCAUGGGUGGACUCGGCGAGUAGGGUCGUGAUUCUGUUCGCGUGUUAAGUGGCAACCUCGGCGAGUCGGCGGCUGGACUCGGCGAGUUGGUGCUGUGUGGAGAAAACCCUAAUCCCAGGGAUUAAGCCUUAUAUAAAGAACAUAAUACCCUCUCCCCAACCUCUUUACUCUCCCUUGAAGUCCAGAAACCCUAAUAUUCAUGUGUGAGAGAAUUAGAGAGCAUUUGGAUCUUGAAGGAGUGUUUGUUGAAGAAAUUUUUGAAGAUUAAAAGGGUUGGAGCAAGGGGCUUUACAAGUUUUUGGCUUAUUCUUCUGUUGGGGUCUUCUCUUGAGGUAAUGAUUCGUUGCUUGAGCUGUUAUCCAUCUAGAUCUAUCAUUUGUGGGAUUUUUGGGAGUAUAUCUAGUGUUAUCUUGAGUUUGGAGGUUGGAUCUGAUGUUGCUACCUUAGAUCUAGAGUAGUGAUGAUCCAAAAGAGCAUAAAUUCCCUGUUCAAGAGUUGUUGAUGAAGCCUUCUAGUCCCAAACCUUAGCCAAGAGUGUUUUAUGCUUAGAUCUCCAUAGAUUCACGUAAAGUUUGCCACUUUACAUGAUGGAUGGCAUGUAUAAGAGUAGAUCUAUGAAUUUGAGACCCUACAUGGCUUGGAAAGCCUCUGGAUGGGUUAAGAGCUAGAGGUACUCGGCGAGUCACAUGGGUGUACUCGGCGAGUUGCAAGAAGAUAGGCAGAAACUCGACGAGUUGGAAGAACAACUCGGCGAGUUGGUUGAAGAUAGCCUUGGACUCGGCGAGUCUGGUCAUGAGGUCCUAACCUUUUCUGGUUAUGUUGUGAAUCAGUGAGUCCAGGGAUGACUCAGUGAGUUGUGUACGGUUAGACUCAGAGUUUUGGGACUCGGCAAGUCUUGGGGCGACUCGGCGAGUUGAGUCGAGUUCUGGAAGUUUCAGAGCAUGGGGACUCGACGAGUCAGCGGGCUGACUCGGCGAGUAGAGUCAGUCAGGAGGGUUGACUUUAACUAAGGACUUUGACUUUGACCAAGAAUUGACCAGUUGACUUCCAGGGGUAAUUUGGUAAUUAUGGGUAUUUAUUGAGUUCAGUAUUUUGGUAUUGAUCAGUGGUGGAGUUCGUGUCGGAGGUUGGAGCAGCAUGAUCUUAUUUUUCAGUCAGCAGUUGCGAGGUGAGUUAUCCUCACUAUAUCAAUAGGGUCUAAGGCACCAAGGCCGGCCCUUUAUCGGAUUGUAAUCCGGGUUUUGUUGUUAUGUUGUUGCUUGAUCUUUUUGCAUCCGGGAAGUUAGGAUGGUAUAUGUUAGGGACCUGGUUAAGGUCGGUAUCCUGGAAUAUAGGAUGAUGCUAUGCUAGUGACCGGUUAGGUCGGUAUCCUUGUUAGGAUGAGGUUAUGUUAUGAGAUCUGCUAGAUCGGUUUGGUUGGAUGUGGAUUGUUAUAUGAUUAUAUGUUUAUGCGCACAUGGUUGUUGGAUUGGGUUUGGGUUGAGGCGGGUCCUGCGAGCGGUUCGGUUAUCCCGAUGGCCCAGCGAGCGGUUCGAAUAGGUUGUAGGCCCCACGAGGGCGAACCAGACGUGCCGAGGCUCGGAGAGUGGACCAGGCCGACUGAAGGCUCGGUGCGGGCGGACCAGUCAUACUGUAGACUCAGAGAGUGAACCAGGUGGGUUGAAGGCCCGGUGUGGGCGGACCAACCACACUACAGACUCGAUGGAUAUGGCUAGACUCGGAGGGUGGACCAGGUGGACUGAAGGCCCGGUGCGGCGGACCAGUCACACAGUAGAUCCAAAGUGCAUGGUUGUUCUGUGUUCUGUUAUGAUAUGGCAUGUUAUGUGUAUGGUAUAUGAGGUUGGUAUUUUGGGGGUAUCUCACUGAGCUUUCGGGCUUACAGUUGUGGUUUAAAUGUUCCAGGUACUUCAGGAGACUGUGGCAAGGCAAAGGCGUGAUCGUCCCGCUCCACAUGAUUAUGUUUUUAUGAUAUGGUUCUGGGAAGACUCUGAUAAUAAUUUUAUUGAAAACCUUUUUGUAAUAACUUAAUGAAACUAGGUUGUUUUUGAAAAUUUUAAAUUGGUUGGAAUUUUUAGAGUGUUACACGUUGACAGGUUAACCUAGUCUGCACACUUCCUGCACAUUAAAGAAACUGACAAGAUGGAGAAGCUCACAAGAACAUACAUUCGGGAGAUUGUACGAAUGCACGGUGUUCCCAUAUCCAUUUUUCUGAUAGAGAUAGUAGAUUCACUUCUAGGUUCUGGCAGUCACUACAAAGUUCCCUAGGAACGAGGCUGGACAUGAUUACAGCCUCCCAUCCACAGACCGACGGACAAAGUGAGAGAACUAUCCGAACGUUGGAAGAUAUGUUGCGAGCCUUUGUGAUCGACUUUAGGAAGGCAUGGGAUACACAUUUACCCCUUGUCGAGUUUUCCUACAACAACAGUUAUCACACGAGCAUAAAGGUUGCUCCAUUUGAAGCCCUAUAUGGCCAUAAGUGCAGAUCCCCUAUGUGUUGGGCUGAGGUGGGUGACACACAGUUAGCUAAAGGGCGAGUUCUUGAUAGCACUCUCACUGGUUCGGAGAUCAUUCGGGAAACAACAGAGAAGAUCGUUCAAAUUCGUGAACGAUUGAAAGCCUCUAGAGACCGACAGAAAAGCUAUGCUGAAAAGAGAAGGAAACGAAUGGAAUUCCAGGCACUACAAGAAAAACAGCCUUUUACGACGCGCAAUGCAUGUCGUAAAAUGCUCAGACGACGCGCAAAUGUGUGUGAAGGAAGACCCUAUCAUAACGAGAGACGACACGCUUUUGCGCGUCGUCUAUUUAUGACGCGCAUUCACGACGCGCUCUUACGAUACACAAUGCGUGUCAAGGAAGGCCCUGUGAUAAAGAAGACGACACGCAUUUGUGUGUCGUAACGUUACCACAUGCGUUUACGACGCGCAUUGCAUAUCAUUAAAGCCCCUGUCAUAAAUAAAGAUGACACACAUUUUGCGUGUCAGAAUUUUAAACGUUAUAUAUAUAUAUAUAUAUANGGUAUAUAUAUAAAUAUAUAUAUAUAUAUAUAUAUAUAUAUAUAUAUAUAUAUAUAUAUAUAUAUUUGAUAAUUUUUAAAUUAAAUAACACAUUUAAAGUCUCAUAAUACAAAAUAAAAUACAAAUAUAACAAAAAAAUCCAUUUCAUAUAAUAAAUGUACUAAUAUUCAAAAUAAAUCACAUUUAAUUUUUAUUUGAUUAACAUCGGUAAAACUAGAAAAACAAAUCUUCAUAAUCCAAAUAAUGACAAACAUAAAACACAAACUGUUUUGGAAACCUGGAUCUUUGUUAUUUGUGCACAAUGUAAUAGCACCUCUAUUUAUUAACUACCAUAGUGUUGAUUCGACUUCUUCCACUGUUUUAAUCCCUUGUCAUUCUUCAAAUACCAACAUCUAUAUGGUAAGCUACAUCGAGAAUAAAACAAAGGUAAAGUGAGUGUUUAAAUAGGUGAACCAGAACCAUCAAAGAAAAAAAAACCAUCAAACCAACACUGAUUUGAUUUGCUCCCAAAUUCCAUCACUUACUUGAUUCUGAUUGUGAAACGCACAUGCCUCUGUUCCUUCAGAUCUUGUAGCAAUCAGCACCCUUUAGGCUUUCACAUCCGACUUGCUUUUGUGCAAACAAUUGGUACUAUGUCCAUUAUAAUUUUUAGGACAAACCCAUCCAACAAUACAACAAAAAGAAGCAAUUGCAUUUUGAAUUUUCAAUUCAUUACACUUCCCAGAUCUCAAAUAUCCAUGAUACCACCCAGUUAAUCCAUAUAAGUAAGACCACCCCAAAUAAAAAAAAUGCAGAUUAACAGAGGGAAGCAGUAGUCAUCUAAAAAGUGGAAAUUGUUGUAGUUUUCAUGGGAUCCAAAAGUAACAGAGGGUGUAAACAAUACACUCAUCUUAUAUACAAGAAGCAUAAAAGGUGAAUUGAAAAAGUGUCAAGCCAUCUCAUAAACUACCUGAAUGCGUGCUCCAGACCAUGUAUGCAGUUUUUUAAUAGUUUCCCUACAUUUCCCAAUUAUUAUACCAAUCUACAGGAAAUAAAAAAAAUUAAGAAGUUACAAAAAUCCAAAGAUUAAUUGAAAAAGUGUAAUAAAAAUGGCCUUAAAAAGCAUGAGUUUACAUUAGAAUACAUUGUAAAAGUGUAAUAAAAAUAAUGAUGUAUUAUUAAGAAACAAAAUAUUUAUCAAUUAAUUGCCAAGAAUAAUCCCUUGCGCACCCCUGUAGUAAGAGCUUGUUAGUUUCCUGAAUCUCUCCUGUCCAGCUACAAUACCAAUUUUACAAUUUUACUUUAUAUAGCAUGAAAGGAUAAAAUCAAUGAUUAAGAUAAAAAGACAUGUUCUAGAGGAAUGAACUUUGUUUUGAAAACAAUAUUAGCAAUGUUUACCAGUGUCCCAUAUUGUAAGUAUUAAUCUUUUUCCUCCAACUGUAAGCUGCUUCAUUUUGAAGUCAACACCUGUCUAAUAUGAGCAGAUACAAGAAUAAUAAGUACAUUUCCAGCAACAUUUUUAUCAAAUUACCAUUUGCAAUGAUAGGUUAGAUCUCAUCACUCAAACAUAUUGGAAUUUGGCUUUCAAUUUGUCAAAUAACUAAAUCUUCACACAAAACAGGGGAAUUUUAUGGAAGAAAAUGUUACUAAGAUUAUUCAAACAGAUAUGGGGAUAUGAAAUUGCAAAGUAACCUUUUCAUUUGGAACUUGUGUGUGAACUUUUAUGUGAACAGAUAUGGGGAUACGAACAACAUGUUUGUAGACUAUAAUAAGGUAAGAUUUGUGCUCCCUUGAUUCCUAACUACAAUAUAGGACUGUGGAUAUCAGUUUCAGAUUCAAGUAUUAAAUAUAAAUAUAUAAUUCCAGCCAUGUCUUUCUUUAUCUUUAACUUCUCUAUCAUGACUCUUUUCCCUGUCCGUUUCACUCCCAUGUCUUUCUGAUCUUGCUUCCACUUCGAUGUGGUCUUUCUUGUUCUUUCUCUUUCUCUUGAUAUCUAUCUUCCUUUUCUUUCUAAGGUUAAUGUCCAUGUUGCCUUUUUACCCUCACAUUGUCCCUCUCCCUAUCCCUGUCACCACCUAUGUCUCUUUCUCUUUCUCUUUCUCUAUCUUUAUCUCUACCCUUUCCAUUUCUGUCCUCCCUGCUCCUAUCUUUAUCCUUAUCUCUGUCUCUUGUUUCACGGGUACCCCUUUGUUUAUCUCUAUCACUCCUAUCCCCAUCUUUUGGAGAUGAACGAUGGUGAGAAGAGCGUCUCAUCAUCCUCUUCUAAUGGAGCCCUGCAAUAUUUAUAUUCAUCCACAUUCUCAUAUUAUGCAUUCUCUCUCAUAUAUGAUAUAUCCAAAUCCAAAUGCUAAUCAAAUGGAAAUGAAGACCUGUCUUACUCCCAAGGCUGGUUGCAAUGGUGUCAUCUUCUCAUAAGGAACCUACAACCUCAUAUUCAUAUCAUUCUUAACUCUAUAUGUAUGAUAGUAAGUAAAAUUGUGUAUUUAAUUAUUACCUUGGCUGUCACAAGAUCCCAUAAAACAAUCGCAAAACUGAAAACAUCCGCCUUUUCAUCAUAUUGUUGAUGAUUUAUAACCUGCAAACUGUUGGAUUAGUGUCUAAGACUGUAACUAUAUUUGGUAAGUACUUGACCCGGUUGUGCAUGGUCCUUUUAGGUUGCCUUCACCAUAGCAACUUGACAGGGUGAUUUAUAAAGAGAGAAGAGAUAUUAUUAUUAAUAUAUUAUGAGAGUAAUAUAUUAAAGAAAUAAUAAUAUUAUUUGAUUGAUGUAAGUCAUAAAUUAAUUAACAAUUAAUUUGGUGACUUAAAGAGGUUAAUUGAAUAAAGGGGCAUAAACUGUCAAUUGUGUGAUAGUUAUGUUUUUGGGCUAUGAAUCUUUAUGGACAUUAGGAUGGACGAUUUUAGGGAUUGGAUAUCUUAAAAAUCGUUCAAGCCUUAUAUCUAGAAGGAUCUUUGGAUUGCUUAGGGCCUAAGUUAUUCAAUUAGGGUUAAGGGUGUAACCCUAGUAGCUCAUAGUAUAAAUAGAUUGCAUGGGUGAGGGAAAUCGGCCACUCUUGCAAGAAAAAAACCCUAGAGCCGAUUUCCUCACCUCUCCUCUGUCUCAAAAUCAACCUCUUGCUAGUUGGUGUUUGUAAGCCAUUAGAGGAGUGACAAUUGUGACUCUAAGCUCCAAGAACAAGAAGUUUCAAGCAAGCAACUUAAGGUAUUCUUCUAGAUCUGAUUUCAUAUGAUAUGAUUCAAUUGUUUACACUAGAUCUAGAAUUGUAAGCCUUGGAUACAUUGCAUGUUCAAUUAGAGAAACCUAGAUCCAAGCAUUAGGGUUUGCAUGUGCACAUAGGAAAGUUCUUAUGGCUCAAACCCAUCAGUGGUAUCAGAGCUUUGAUUUAUUUCUAUUGAAUUGAUGCUUUGGUUGAUUGUUUUUGGUUGAAAAAUUCAUUUUUUGUGCCUCUGACUGAUGAACUCGGCGAGUUCCAUUGUGGACUCGGCGAGUUCAUAGUGGAACUCGGCGAGUUCUAGCGUCAGUUAGAGCUGAUUUCGGGAUUUCUUGUUGUUUUGCUUGAGGAUACUUGCCUUAAUUGUUUUGGGUCAUUAAUAUCCGAAUUUUAUCAUAUAUUUGAGUAUAUUCUUGACCAAACAAAAGAUAAUUACCAUUUGAUUGAAUGAUAAUUUCCUUAUAUGAUAAUAAUUGAUUAUUUGAAUUAAAUUGGUAGAUUGUCUUACAAGUAAUAUUAACUAGGUCAAAUUUAAAUAAUCAUUAAAUUAAUUAGUUGAUUUAUAUUAUUUUCUAUUUGAUCCUUUAUGUUUUGAAAAGUUUAAAACUUGUCCUCAAGUUUUGAAAUUUAAGUUUUNUAUAUAUAUAUAUAUAUAUAUAUAUAUAUAUAUAUAUGAUUUAAAAUGCUAGUCUUACCGUUAGUAGGCCUCAUUCACGAAGCCGAUCUAUAAGGUGGGUAUAAGGUUGCUGCCUAUAAAAUGGCACUUAAUGGGUGUACACUCACACCCACUGCUUGCUUGACUGGUGGAGGGUCGUUAGCCGAACGGGUAGGAUAGGGCAAUCCUCUCCUCAUUAAUAAGUAUAAUGAAUCUAUAUAAAGUAACUAAACGUGUUUUAUAAAAUUCCCAAUCUUAGUUACUUUAGGAAAAGUAAAUUGAUGCAAUCCCAUGAAAUUACACUUUGCACCCUUGCUAAGAUGUUAGUGGAGCGUGUGUGGGUAACCGUCACACUAAUUGGUUCUAAGCAAAGGUGGAAAAGGGUGAUUCAUUGUUUGUCAUAGUUCGAUGGAGCGUGUGUGGUUUACCGGCACAUCGAAUAGAUGACUGUAACAAUGAAGGCACCAUGCAGAUUCGCAUGGUUAUUCACACCCACUUUGUGAUCCUCGGCAUCCCAGUCACAAACGAGAGGGGCAUAUCGAGAGUUAAACAUGCCAAAUCUAGGAAUUCUCAAUACAUUUAAAACUUAAGCUUAUGUUUUUCAUGGUGAAGAAUUGGUGAAUCGUCAUUCACUUACCUCUAAAUUAUUUGCAUGUUGGAUCACGGCAUCCCUUUUCUAAUGUGUAAAUAAUGUUGUUGGGUCCUAGCCCUAAGGACUGCUGAAAGCAACCUCAAGGAAAAGUCUGUUGCAUUAACUCCCAAUCCACCUGUUGCUCCUGUUUUGGCUAUUGGGCAAGGAAGGGGCAAGAAGAGGAAGGAUCCUUCAAAGAGCCACCACAAAGGAAAGUCCCAAUAUGGUUCCUCUUGUAGUGGGACCAAGGUUGGCCCUGCUAAACCCAACCCAAACCCAAAGGAGGCAGAGUGCCACCAUUGCCACAAAAUAGGGCAUUAGAAGAGAAGCUGCCUGGAAUAUCUGCAAGCCAUCAAGGAUGGGAAGAUCAAGCCAUCUUUUGCAGGUAUUUACACAAUUAAAUCUAAUGAUUCAUCUCAUGCUAUUUCAUGAGUUCUUGAUACAUGAUGUGGUUUUCGCAUUUGUUUUGAUUUGCAGGGACUAAGAAGAAAUAGGGAUGUGGAGCGUGGAAGAAUAAAUCUAAUCAUGGGGAACAGAAGAUUGUCACCUGUCACCAAGAUUGGAGUGUAUUCUCUAGUGCUUAGUAAUGGAUUAGGUUUAGCUUUAAAUAAUUAUUGCUACUCACCAGAUAUGGCAAGAAACAUCAUUUCAUUUCAUGGUUUAUUUAGACAAGGAUUUAGAUAUUCAUUUAAUAAUGAGAAUGGUUCGAUUUAUGCUUAUCUAAAUGGUGUUUUAUAUUUUGAAGCAAUGCCUUGUAAUGGAAUUUAUGAAACUGUUAUGGUUGUAGAUAACCUAGGAAAUGAGGUGUUGUGUAUGGAUUCUUCCGAUAGUAUGGAUAAAGAAUGCUUGUGGCAUUGUCGUCUUGGACAUGUCAGCAAGAAGUGCAUAGCCCAAAUCCAAAAGGAUGGAGUGUUGGAGGCAUUCAACCUUAGGGAAGAUGACACGUGUGAAUCUUGUUUACUUGGAAAGAUGACCAAGUCACCCAUCACUAGAACUUCUGAGAGGGGUGAGGGUUUAUUGGAUCUCAUACACACCGACGUGUCUGGGCCCUUUAGAUCCACCACAAAGGAUGUGAACCACUUCUACAUGACUUUCACCGAUGAUUAUAGUAGAUAUGGGUAUAUUUACUUAAUCAAGCACAAGUCAGAAACGUUUGAAAAGUUCAAAGAAUUCAAACAUGAAGUGGAGAAUCAAUUGGGCAGGAAAAUCAAGAUGCUUCGAUCCGAUCGAGGAGGAGAGUACCUAAGUCUUGAAUUCCACGACUAUCUCAAGGAAUGCAGAAUAGUUUCGCAAUUGACACCACCUAGGACACUGUGACAACCCGAAAUUUCCAUUCUGAACAAACCAUUUGAAGCCAAUAGAAGUAGAACAGUUACAGUGAAAACUCAAAUUUCGAGUAUAAGUUUGGCAGUUUUCAGGAUUUUACACUUAAGGAGAUAUUAGGAGAGUGGAUGCACUAGGGUUUUGUGCAACACUGUUAUUCCAAUACUCUAGGACAUUAGAGUUCGUUCCAGGAAUAAAAAUAUUUUCUGCCAAAAAUAUCUCAGGACUAUAAAUAGAAUUCUGAACCAAAUUGGUUCAUUUGUUGAAUUCCAUUUAGAGAAAAGUCAAAAUUCUCUCUCACGGAUCUUCGGGUUUUUAUCCCAAAUUGUGAGUACUUCGAUCUAGUUAUGUUAUAUAGCUUAGAUUGUGUUUAGAAACACCAAUUGCAUAUCAAAUCUGUGAGAUUCGGGAGUUUACCGCCCAAGAACGUUCUUGGGGAGUAAACUCCAAUAAGUGGCUUAAAUGCUACCUAGUCCUUUCCUCGUAAAUUGUAACUACCUUAGACUUGUAUGCUAGUGUGUAUAUGACUAGAAAACAUCAAAAUCGGAUUAAUACCCCAAGAUUUGGGAGUUUACCGCCCAAGAACACUUGGGGAGUAAACUCCAUUUUAAGGUCCCAAAGGGUUCCAAUGACCCUCAAAGCAUUAGAACUCACACUAGAAGCCUUCAUUACAUAUUUAGGACACCAAAACAAUUAAGAUUCAAGGGUAAAAGAGAGUUCAAGGCCAAGGAGGUUCUUGGGCCGUGAACUCCAUGUUUAAGUGCCCAAAAUGCCCUAAAUCCCUUCAUUUAGCCAAGAGACUACCCUAGCACAUUACCUUGAUGUGUAUAAUACCCAAAACAAUCAAAAUACCAACACUUAGGGGUGUUCACGGCCGCAAACACAUGGCCAAUUGGUUCAUGGGCCGAAAACUCUAAAUAGGGGUGUUUUGAUGCCACAAACACUUCCUAAGGCUUAGGCUUAAAUUAGGACAAGUAACCUAAAGUGUUUAAAGCCUAGAAAACAUAAGGAUUCACAUGUGUUAAGGAGUUUACGGCCAAGACAAGCUCUUGGGCCGUAAACACCUAUAAAGGGGUCAAAUGACACCCUAACUCCUUCCUUAUGCCUAGAACCCAACAUAGAUCAUUACCUUGAAAUGUUUGAGACUUGAAAACAUCAUAAACACCCUCCCAAGGGAGUUUACGGCCGUAAACUCCAAGGGUAUAUGGUCCCUGGGCUAUAAACUCCUUAAAGGAGUUAAUAUGACACCCAAACACUUCAUUUAGCCUUGAAACAAUUCACCACAUGACUUGUAUAAUUGUUAGACUUGAUUUAGGGGCUUUGUAGAGAGUUUACGGCCAGGAGUUUACUCCCCUAGGCCGUAAACUCCAAGACAUAUGGUCAUUUAACCAUAAACUUCCAUAAGAGGCAUUGCACUCCUUUAUUGCAAUCCAUUAGCCUCCUAGCACUUGACCAAGAGUGUUUUCCUCGCGUUUCAAUGUUUAUACUUGUAUAAUUAGUGUNNNNNNNNNNNNNNNNNNNNNNNNNNNNNNNNNNNNNNNNNNNNNNNNNNNNNNNNNNNNNNNNNNNNNNNNNNNNNNNNNNNNNNNNNNNNNNNNNNNNAUUAUUUAAAUGAAAAAUUUUGUUUUUGGAAUUCACGGUGUUACAUUAGUGCCUUUGGGUAGCAAAGGCAUACAUUCAUAUACUUUUACAUGAUUAGGCUUACAUAAGUACAUAUACAUGAAUACGUUCACGAAAUUGUGAUCCACCGUAUCGGAGCAUGCCUUAAAUGUCAUGGCCCGAGUUAUAGCCAGAGUCUCUUGGAGGGAGAGCGUGAGUUUGCGUGUAGAUCUAUACUAGAUUGACUAUCCUACACCUUGCUGCUAGCUAUAGCCGGACCUGCAGGUCAGCGGGUGCCAAACGUCAUUCCGUUAUUACGACCAUUCGUAUGCCGUUGUUACCAGUCAAUAGUAUGGUGCAAUUAAUCACAUAAUGCCUUAAUAUAAAUCCGUUUUAUGGUAGUUAGUACAGCAGUAGUUCUUAUAGCGCUACGUUUCAGUACUACAUUAAUUUUCCCUGUACAGAUAUUUAGUGAUCCUUUCACUCAAACUAUAAAGGUAAAAACUGAUGGGUUUUAUGCAUAAGAACAAUCCUAUGUGCUCAUACAAACCCUAAUGCUUGGAUCUAGGUUUCUCUAUUGUACAUGCUUUGAAUCCAAGACUAAUAAACUUAGAUCUAACAUAUUAUAAACUGAAUUAGGGUUUAUAGAAUUACCUUUGAUUGUUAUAUAGCAAUAACAAUCAAUUCCUUGCUUGGAUUGGCCUUAGAAAGCUUAGUGCCUCAAGUGCUGCACCUCUAAUGGAGUCACAAACACCAUAUACAACUUGGAUGAAGAGGAGAAGAAAGGGGAGGCACCAAAAACGGCUGGAAACCCUAUUGGAAGACUUGUCCACGUUUUUGGGGCAUAGGGGCCCUUUAUAUACAUGUAGGCUAUUAGGGUUUACAACUAGGAAACCCUAAUUUGAUUGCUUAGGCCCUAAGCAGCCCAUGGACUCCUUAAACAUAUCCCUUGGACGAUUUCUAAUGGGCUUCCCAUAGAAUUCGUCCAACCUAUAUAUUAUUAGGUGAUCCAUAGCCCAAUUAUAAUUAUCUUAUAAUUACAACUUCAGUCCCCUAAGUUUAAUUAAUCUUUUUUAGCCACAAAAUUAAUUAACAAUUAAUUCUUGACUAAUAUUAAUUAAACAAUAUGAUUUCUCCUUUAAUAUAUUAUUCUCAUAAUAUAUUAAUAAAUCAUAUUUAAACCUUUCUCUCCUUAAAUCAUCCUACAUAUUGCUAUGGUGAAGGCAACCCAAAAGGACCAUGCUCAUAAUCGGGUCAAGUACAUACCAAAAUAGUUAUGGACUUAGACACUAAUCCAACAGUAUUCCACUUGGAUAAGUCUAAUAACUAUUUUCCGUAUGACUUCAGAACCUGAUCAGCAAUCGUAGCUUUCAAAAGCCGCUGUCAACUCUGAUCUUAUCAGAUAGCGUGUCCUCUAGAUAAGGGAUUAUAUAUUCCUCCAUUCUCAAGAUAUCGUAUAGACAAAAGACAUGAAUUUCAAUCAUUCUCUCUAUACUGUUUCCCGACUUCCGAUUUAUGACGACUGAUAACAGACUACAAUUGAACACAUCAACUUAGUCCCGGCUUGGCCAAGCGCUUAGGUGUCAUCACUAAAUCAUCGAGAGGCCCACAGAUAUCGCUUUUAUCCCACUUUGGGUAAAAGGAAUGGAUAAACUUCGAAUCAAAUGCUUGCUUGCAUUUAUUAAUCGAAUCACACACAACAAUAAGUUUUAUAACACCAAGUUACUGGUGCGUUUACUUAUUAUCAAUGUGCAACCGACCAACAAAUAACAACUCACACGUCUCGGUUUCAAGAAUAUACAAUAUUAUCGUCUCACUAAUCACUCGUGAUAAAACCAUGAAGUGAUCCAAGUGAGCGUGGGUUUAAUCCAAUACUCUAAUCUUAUCAAAGCACUCAUGAACUCUGCAGCAAACUUGUGCUAUGUCUAAACACUUCAGACAAUCUACAGACAGAUUCAUGACAGUCUUUAUUCAUACCUACUCCCAACGUAUGACCGACUGUGGAUGUUUGAAUAACCUAGUUAUUCUGGAAGUCAAAACAUGCAAAUUGAAACAUAACAAUAAUACUUAAUCCUAUAUGGCCUCAAACUUGUGAGAGUAAAUAAAACACUUCUAUUUAACCACCAUAUUGAUUACUCAUUAUUAUCGUUUACUGUUUCAGAAAAUCAACUUAUUACUCAAAUUACAACAAUAGCUGUCCCAUGCAUAAAGCAUGCACACUAUGUUUCCUAUGGUCCUUACUUUGUGAAAUAGAUCAAUUGAAAAACCUUUUUAAUGAUGCUAAUUUCACAAUUCCCAAUCCUUAUCAUCAGUGUAAGAACACAAGGUUCUUGGCACUACUAGAAUAUGUUAGAUUCUAACAUUUUACGCAACGAUCCCUUUGCAAAAUCACAGCACAAAAGUCACCACGACUUAGCUAAUGAAAUUACAAAGUACUUUCUUAGAAAUUGUUACAAGACAAUUCCAUAGAUGUGAAGUCUCACAUUCAAAGUACAUUCCUUUGAACAUCCUUCUUGCAUAAAAGUUUCUAAUCUAGGCAUAGACUCUCAAUAUCCAACUCCCAAUAUGGAAACAUUUCCACAUUUGCCAUAUGACAACUCAUUCUUAAUAGAAUCUUAUCUAUUCAUAAUAAUGUCGAUAUGGUCCAUCCAAUACCAUACUUCCAACUACUCACAAGCGACCAUUCCUCAGCGAACCUCGGACCGUCCUUUGAUAGUUGUUUAAUUAUUUUAGUCAAUACCAAUUCUAGUCCUUUUUCCCUCUUAAUGCGCUAGACAUUUGGAAAAUUUUUAGAAUGGUAAAAUACUAUAGCAUUUACAAUCGAUCCUAUACCCGAAGCGUAUGGGACACGAUGCAUAAUGUCUUACAUAAAGAUAUGAUACUUUACCAAUCUUUUGCCAUAAUAUUUUAUGUGUCAUGUUCUCACAAUUCGAACUAUGAAGAGGGAUGCCGUAAUCAUAAUCGAAUUUUAAGAACACACAAUGUAUCCUUUGACUGAAAAUAUUAAAAUUUCUUAAUCUAAGCUUUAGAUUUUGAAACGAAGUAUAAUAUUCUCUCCCUUAAUUAUAGCAAAACAACUUUUCAACCCAUGCAACUUUGCAAAUGGAAUCUUUGUUUUUCUAUAAUUAAUAUUGCUAACUUGCAAUACUCGCCAUAAUAAUCAUACAAGCAUAACACUUAUGCUCCCACUAUCAUGAUGAUUAUUAUCAUAUAAGCAUAACACUUAUGCUCCCACUAGCUUUGACAUGUAUUCAGAAAACAAAUGAACUUCCAGAAAACAAUGCCUAUUGAAUUUCUGAAAUUCAUAUUUCUAAUACCAGAUGCUUCGAUAAGCCUUUAUCUAAGCUUCUUAAACUUAUACACCUUUGCCUUAGAUAGCUCAUGUGUCAUUUUAAACAAUUCAAAACUUAUGUUACUAAGUUCCAAAUGUUGAAANNNNNNNNNNNNNNNNNNNNNNNNNNNNNNNNNNNNNNNNNNNNNNNNNNNNNNNNNNNNNNNNNNNNNNNNNNNNNNNNNNNNNNNNNNNNNNNNNNNNACACGAGAUUGGGAUUGUGAAAACAUGUAUGAAUUCUAAUAUGAAUUUUAGGACGGAGAACUGCCUAAGUAUACGAGUAAUCGCAUCGUCAUGUGAACGAACAUAGAACCCAGUAUGACUCCCGUAAACAGAUCGCCCUACAGUCUAAACACUCCGGAGAUACAAGAAUAGUACAGACAACUUAGC
rnacentral:lncRNA from 1 species